UCAGGCUGGAGUGCAGUGGUGUGAUCAUGGCUCACUGCAGCUUCAACCUCCCAGCCUCAAGCCAUCCUCCCGCCUUAGCCCCCUGAGUAGCUGGGACUAUAGGUGCACACCACCACAUCUGGCUAAUUUUUUUACUUUUUUGUAGAGACUGGGGUCUCUAUGUUACCCAGGAUGGUCUCGAAUUGUUUGGGUUUUUUUUUUUUUUUUUUUUUUUUUUUGAGACAGGAUCUCACCCUGUCACCCAGGCUGGAGUGCAGUGGCGUGAUUUAUUCCUCAUUUUUAGCCUCCCUUUCUUUUCCAGAUUAGGCCCUGAACCAUUGUUUUGCUAUAUCUUAACGCAUGGUCUUGAGAAUAAUGUGAUAUAAUCAGGCCAUAUUCCUUCAAUUUAUUGUUUCUUCUUCAUAAAGUAGAUGAC
rnacentral:lncRNA from 1 species